AUGGCGGGUGCUGGUGAGUGGCCAAAAGUAUUGGACAUUAAGCUAGGGCCUCUAAAGAGAAUAAUCACCACACUUCUGGCAGGGAUUUUGUGUACAGUAGUUCAGAGGCCAUUAGGCAGACUACAGACUGUGACAAAAGGCGUGGAGUCUCUUGUUUGCACAGAUUGGAUUCGUCACAAAUUCACCAAGUCAAGAAUUCCAGAUAAAGUGUUUCAGCCUUCACCUGAAGAUCAUGGAAAGUAUGGUGGGGACCCACAGAACUCCCAUAAACUACAUAUUGUUACUAGAAUAAAAAGUACAAAAAGACAUCCAUACUGGGAAAAAGAUACAAGAAAGAUGCUUGGAUUAGAAAAAGCACAUACCCCUCAAGUUCACAAGAAUAUCCCUUCAGUGAAUGCAAAACUGAAAGUGGUCAAACAUUUGAUAAGAAUCAAGCCCCUGAAGCUGCCACAAGAACUUCCCACAGAGGCAGACAUGGUUAACACAUGUCUCAAGAGCACUGGAGGAUGAGUAAUACAGUGGCACCUGAAACCUGUGGAGCAGAAAAGUUAAGUCCUGAUGCCAGAACAGCUUCAGAUCAAACAAUGCAAAUUGUUUAAAAUGAUGAGAAUGUUUUCAUUAAAAUAGAUUUUAAA